CAUGCAAGUCGAACGGUGAACACGGAGCUUGCUCUGUGGGAUCAGUGGCGAACGGGUGAGUAACACGUGAGCAACCUGCCCCUGACUCUGGGAUAAGCGCUGGAAACGGCGUCUAAUACUGGAUAUGUGACGUGACCGCAUGGUCUGCGUCUGGAAAGAAUUUCGGUUGGGGAUGGGCUCGCGGCCUAUCAGCUUGUUGGUGAGGUAAUGGCUCACCAAGGCGUCGACGGGUAGCCGGCCUGAGAGGGUGACCGGCCACACUGGGACUGAGACACGGCCCAGACUCCUACGGGAGGCAGCAGUGGGGAAUAUUGCACAAUGGGCGCAAGCCUGAUGCAGCAACGCCGCGUGAGGGACGACGGCCUUCGGGUUGUAAACCUCUUUUAGCAGGGAAGAAGCGAAAGUGACGGUACCUGCAGAAAAAGCGCCGGCUAACUACGUGCCAGCAGCCGCGGUAAUACGUAGGGCGCAAGCGUUAUCCGGAAUUAUUGGGCGUAAAGAGCUCGUAUGCGGUUUGUCGCGUCUGCUGUGAAAUCCGGAGGCUCAACCUCCGGCCCUGCAGUGGGUACCGGC
rnacentral:rRNA from 1 species